rnacentral:rRNA from 1 species
AUUGAACGCUGGCGGCAGGCCUAACACAUGCAAGUCGAGCGAGCGGCGGACGGGUGAGUAAUGUAUGGGGACUGCCCGAUAGAGGGGGAUAACUACUGGAAACGGUGGCUAAUACCGCAUACUAUCGGAUAACCCAUAUGGGAUUAGCUAGUAGGUGGGGUAAAGGCUCACCUAGGGGACGAUCCCUAGCUGGUCUGAGAGGUGGAUCAGCCACACUGGAACUGAGACCCGGCCCAGCCUCCUACGGAGGCAGCAGUGUGGAAUGUUGCACAAUGGGCGCGAGCCUGAUGCAGCCAUGCCGCGUGUAUGAAGAAGGCCUUGGGGUUGUAAAGUACUUUCAGCGGUGAGGCGUUACCCGCAGAAGAAGCACCGGCUAACUCCGUGCCAGCCGCCGCGGUAAUUC